rnacentral:rRNA from 1 species
UUUCUAGUGUAGAGGUGAAAUUCGUAGAUAUUAGAAAGAAUACCAAUUGCGAAGGCAGCUUUCUGGAUCAUUACUGACACUGAGGAACGAAAGCAUGGGUAGCGAAGAGGAUUAGAUACCCUCGUAGUCCAUGCCGUAAACGAUGUGUGUUAGACGUUGGAAAUUUAUUUUCAGUGUCGCAGUGAAAGCGAUAAACACACCGCCUGGGGAGUACGACCGCAAGGUUAAAACUCAAAUGAAUUGACGGGGACCCGCACAAGUAGUGGAGCAUGUGGUUUAAUUCGAAGAUACGCGCAGAACCUUACCAACACUUGACAUGUUCGUCGCGACUCUAAGAGAUUAGAGUUUUCGGUUCGGCCGGACGAAACACAGGUGCUGCAUGGCUGUCGUCAGCUCGUGUCGUGAGAUGUUGGGUUAAGUCCCGCAACGAGCGCAACCCUCACUUUUAGUUGCCAUCAUUAAGUUGGGCACUCUGAAAGAACUGCCAGUGAUAAGCUGGAGGAAGGUGGGGAUGACGUCAAGUCCUCAUGGCCCUUACGUGUUGGGCUACACACGUGCUACAAUGGUAUCUACAACAGGAAGCAAAACAGCGAUGUUAAGCAAAUCCUUAAAAGAUACCUCAGUUCGGAUUGCACUCUGCAACUCGAGUGCAUGAAGCUGGAAUUACUAGUAAUCGUGGAUCAGCGUGCCACGGUGAAUGCGUUCCCGGGUCUUGUACACACCGCCCGUCACACCAUGGGAGUUGGUUCUACCUUAAGGCAAGGUUUAAAACCCUUGACCACGGUAUAGUCAGCGACUGGGGUGAAGUCGUAACAAGGUAGCCGUAGGGGAACCUGCGGCUG